rnacentral:lncRNA from 1 species
UUUAUUCACCUUUUUAUUCAAUCAAAUAUUGGAAGUAUGUAUUUUCCGCUAAAAACAUUUAACAAUAUGUAAUAACCGUGCAUCGCACGGGUGUAUUACUAGUUUUAUAUAUAAAAGGAAGAUUUUUUACUUAUAAUCCUAGAUCUAAACCUAGGGGUGUUUUAGACAUUUUCUAUUUGGCAGAUUUUUCUUCUAUUUUUUGCAAUGAUAAUUCCGCUUGCUACGUAAAUCCAUUUCCACAUCCUACGUUAUUUGUUGCCGAUUUUUUUUUGUUUUAAUUUAAUUCUGCAUUUCUUCCUUCUCUCAGAUUUUCUCGACAGUUGUUUUUUCCAUAUCUUUUUCAAAACCUAGAGAAAACGAUCUCCACUUCCCACGUUUGUAGACAGACGUUUUUUUUCCCCAUAUUUUGUAUUAACUUUCUUCAUAAAUUCGGAUGAAUAGCAACAAACGAUCAGAGAUCUGCAGAACUGCUAUUGUUGUUAUAGUAAUUGGCUUUCACUUUGAUUGUCUGUUAUUUAUUUAUUUUUUGUUAGUAAAUCUUCAUGGGCAUACUCAAAGUAAUAUUGAUCAAUUGAAUGGUUUGUUGGUGCUACACUUGCGUAAGCACUGUCAGUCCUCGAGAAACGUGUUAUUACUUGCAUUGGUGAUUUGGAAAAGGAUUAGUAUAGGCCUGAAGUUCUAUAGCCUCCGGUCUCAAGUUCAAUACAAACUCUAAGAGCAGAGUCAGUAAACAAUCUGAAAAUUAUUUUUAUUUCUGAUCUAUAAUUAUCUAUGAGGUUCAGAGUCCAGCGUAGUGUCACAAUAUUUUGGGACAAUGCUUAUGUAUCUUUUACUAAUUAUCUUUUGGGAUUAUUGUGCUUGUUAUUUUUAAUAUGACUUUCCACAAAAAGAACAGUGUUUGGUGAUAUUUUCAUGCAUCAAAGAGACUUUUUUUAGGUUAAUAAAUUUCACAUAAAACACGAAGCAAAAUCCAAGAUCAUCAUUCCUGAAUUCACUCAGUAUCCAUAAAUUGUUAUACUGUCCUUCAAAUUAUUUAUUCUUGAUCACGAUUUUAUAGAAUUAUGUUCAGCCCAAACAUAGAGAGAAGUAAGAGGCAAAAAAGGUGCAUGUGAUCGACCAUCUAUGCGAGAAAUAAUAAUGUCAUAGUAUAUAUUGAACUCUGAAGUAAUUGCCACAAUAACUUAUGAUAUGCCUAACUUAAAUGGAAAACUAACAUGAGACAUGUAAUUGAUACAUUUUCCAUAGCUGCCCUUUUUUUUAAUAUGCAAUAUUUUUUGAUAUAGUGGUUUCAUGUUUGUGGAAUGUAUUUUGCUUUCGUGUACGUUUUUUGAAGCACCAGAAUUUGUUGCUUCUUCUUCCUCCAAAAAAGGGUAUACUUUUUUUUGAAAAAAUGGACUUCCGGGUAGGUUCUAUCUUUUUACAUUUUUAAAAACAAUAUAGGUUUGUUUUGGAACAUACACAACAUCGUGUUCUUUUUUCGUUCUCCACAUUGCAUGUUAUUGUAGAAGCUCCUUAAAAAGAAGAAGAAGAAGAAGAAGAAGAAAAAGAAGGAGGAGGAGGAGGAGCAGGAGGAGGAAGAAGAAGAAGAAGAAGAAGAAGAAGAAGAAGAAGAAGAAGAAGAAUAUAUAUGUUUGUCUGAUACUGAUUUUUAUUAAGAGUUUAAAUGUCAUUAUCUAUUUUUUAUUUACAUGGUAUUGAAGUGAGAAACAAUUGCUAUUUGAAAUAAUUGUCUGUGUUGUUAAAUUUGUAUUAUUUUUUGUUUAACAUACAUAUAUUAUGCAUUGACACUCGGUAUAUAUAUAUUGUUGGAUGAAAAAUAUAUGCUACAAUUAAAUAAGGUAAUAACAAUGUCAUUUCAAUAUUAUUUAAUAGGUUGUUUAUUACAAUUUGUACUAUUAUUUAUUCAAAACAAUUAGUUUUUUUUCCUUUUUGAAUGCGACCUCGUGCAACGCACGGGCACGAUUACUAGUUGCAAUAAAGUCAACAAUUACUCUUGUCAUGAAAUAAAUAUUACAAUAGCCGCCUAGGGUAAAGUUGGUAUUUUGUGAAGAAUAUGCUAUGCCAGAAUUCGCACCGCGAGGGGACAACGUAAGACGAAAACUAAAUGCAGUGGGGGGUUUUUGGGAAUAAUGAAUGCUUUAUGUUCUUUUUUUUUUUCUUGCUGUAAAAUGAACUUAGUUCACGGGUUUUCUCAAAUAAAUGUUAUAUAUACUGAUCUAAGAUUAAUUUCUACCUGAAUUGUAACUUUAGAGUAAGGCACGUACCAUAAAUAUUGCCUUAAUUUGUUUGCGACUGAUUGAAAUCUCUGAAUCUUGCUUAUUUUGAAUCUCCAACAAGAUUUGAAGAAGAUCUUUCUUCCCUUCUUUGAUUUCUCCGGAUAAAUUCAUUUCGUGUUGGGUGAUAACGGUUUCGAAAAUCUUGUCGACAAUUUGCAUAUAAGUCUCCAUCUGUUUUUUUACUCCUUGAAUAUCAAGCCAAGCAAGAAGUGGAAAGAAAUCAGAAAUAUUCGGCUUUCCGAACAAAUCAACAAGCUUCGGUGCCACGGCCAGAAACUCAGACGCAAUUCUUUCGCCCUCUUCCCCUUCAAAUUUCCCGCCCCACAACAUGCUCAUCAUGACCUUUAGCUCGGUGCGAAAAAUCAACGGUCCGAUUUCGACGGGAUUUCCAAUCUUAGCAUGCACUUGUCUAACUGCCGUUCUAACCUGAUCCUUGCGAAGAUUAUAGGAUGCAUCGAGACUUUUGGCGUUCAUCAUCUCUUGAACGAAUAUUUUUCUCAUCGCACGCCACUUUGAAUUGAGCUCGGAGAAGACGAUGUCGUUCGCACCGUAAGUCGCAACGAUUCCUACAGCAGGAAUGUCACGAUUUGCGAAAACAGAGUCUUGAUCGCGGACUACCUCUUUUACGAGUGAUGGUGAGUUUAUUACAACACAGAAUUUUUUCCCGAGAGAGAUACUGUAUAUCGGACCAUAUUUGUGUCCCAAUUCCGUGAAUUUUUGGAAUAAAUUGUUGCCGAGAAACGGCAAAUAUCCGAGGAUCGGAAGCCCGAGGGGACCAGGUGGCAGGGGAGGAUUUGCUCUUCUACCUUGUGAGGUUUUGAUGUACCAUAAAAUGGACAUGAACAAAGUUGAGAUUGAGAAGGUUGCUACUACAUACAGCCCAUCCAUUUGUUACUUCUUUUUUCUUCUUUUGGGCUACUUCUGUAACUGGUUGGGUUAUAUAUAUAUAUAUAUAUAUAUAUAUAUAUAUAUAUAUAUAUAUAUAUAUAUAUAUAUAUAUAUAUAUAUAUAUAUAUCGGAUAUAAAGUCAAAGAAAACUUGUAAUACAUUAUACAUCAUGACUUGUUAAACAUGGAAAAAUAUUAUAUCUAUAUUGAAUAUUUAUUAUUUAUAUGGUUUUGAAUCAUCAACUUCUAAUAAAUUAUUUAUAAAUUAAACUUGGCAAUCUCAAGAUGAUGAGCAUCUGGUAGUUGAGAUUUUUUAAGCCAUUCAUUUAUGACCGGUCAUUAAUUUGUGCUGUAUUAUUGAUCUGACGUCUAAUUUAAUGAUACUUAAGUUUAUUUAUUUUAGAAAGUUUAUAUCAUUAAUUCAAAGGUUGGAAUUAUAUGUUAAGAGUUAAUUGCAUUUACUAUCCAUGUAAAAAUCGCAACUGCGCGAUUCCCCCAUGUCAUAAAAAAAUUGGCGCCGUUAUAUGCAUGUCCAUUUUUUUAUUAGUUCAAAACCACAUAAAUGAGUUUAUUAGUUCAAGCCCGUAAAUUAAUCUAAUUUUAUUACAUCAAGACCAAAGAUGACAAAUAUACCCUUAUCCACAAAUAAUACUCAAAUACAAAUAAAUCUUAUUUUUAAUUUGUUCAAGACCAAAAAAAAAUUAAAAAAAAAAAAGAAAACAAAACAAAAAAGAAAUAUCACGACGGCUAAAUAUUAAUCUAUGCUAAAUAUGUAUGAACGAACAUUAAUCUAUGCUUAUUUCUUGUUGGGUUGCAAUGAUUUGGCCGAUUUUGGAAAAAAAAUUAAGAUUGAAAUUGGUUUUUUUAUUUUUUUCGUUGGUUUCCCAAAUCGGUUUAUCCAGACCGAUUUUGUACACGAAAAUCGGCGUCAUAAUACCAAUUUUUGUUAACCAAAUCGGCGACACAACGUCGACUUUACAAGUCAAAAUCGGCGUUCUAAUGUUGAUUAUUGAGUACAAAAUCGGUUUUCGAAUACCGAUAUUUUUUGAAUUUUUUUUUUAAAUAAUACAUUAUAUAUUUGGUUAAUUGAUAUUUUUUAAAUAUUUGAAACGAAAAUGUUUAUCACCAUUCGGUGGCGUCUACCACUCCUUUAACCCAAUCGAGUAGAGCUUUCCGUAUCUCAAUUAUUUAUUCGUUAGAUAUAUAUAUGUGUAUAUAAAUCGAAGAUAUAUAUAUGUGUAUAUAAACGAAAUAUAUUAUGUAUAUUGUAAUUCUGCAAACUACAAAAUAUAUAUUAUACGAAAGCUACAGAUGAAAUUGAAAGAUGUAAAGUGUGUAUUUACUGUAAGGACUUUAGCUACUGUAUUUUGGAAGAAGUGUGUUUCUUCAUUGAAUUAAUCAUCUAUUUAUAUACAUCAUCAGGGAGUAUAAAACUUCCACGUAUACAAAUACAUGUACUGAUCUAAUUUGCUAAAAUGCUACGGACAUAUCUAGAAGUCCCAUGUAUGCACAUCAUGCAAUCACGUGCAAAGCCAUUGUAUCACAUGCAAAGGAGCCAUUUUAUUGGUUGCUUGAGUCCAUGUAGAUAUAACAAACAAUACUAAGAUAUUUGUUCCUAUUUUACAAUUUAAUUUGAAAUAUUUUAAGAAUUUUGUUAGAAAGUAAUAGAAAUAAUACUAAUUAGAAUAUAAAAAAGCCUGGGACUAAGUAAAAGUGUUCUAAAAGUUAUAUAUUCUUAAUUAUAUAUACUAAUGAUAACUUAUUGAAAUGCGUAAGUUACGUUAGUUAGAAUAAUUUAUUUGUUAGUUUGGUUGACUGCAAAUAUAAAUGAAAUAGUUGAGUUAAACUUUAUGAUUAUUUUAUGGCGAUGUGAUAAAUGUCGUCGUUCACUUUUAAAAAUACAGUUUUGACUUCAAACGUGAUCUUGACUCGUAUUAAGGUUGAAUUUGGCAAAACUCAAACUGAAUGUUUAGUUCUUUAAUGAGUUAACUUUCUAAUCCAACUUGAAUACUAAGAUUGGAUGUUGGAUGAAAACGAUAUGAAUGAAUCAAUGAACAUCGUCUAAAUUUCAAAGUGUAAUUCAUUAAUGCAUAAUUGUCUCAUCCGACGUUCAAUCUUGUUUAUUCAAGUUGCAUAAUUCAGCCUAAAACAUGGUCAAAAUCAUAUUAGAAGUCAAAAUGAUAUUAGUAAAAUUAAAAUGACAUUAAACAUUUCAGUUAGUUUAUAUCUUUGUUUUUUUUUUAAAUCCUAGAUAUCUUUGUUUUGUAAAUUUUUUUAUAAAUAUAAGUAUUAAAAAUUUGGGAUAAAUACAUAUUUUUAAAUAAAUUAUAUUGCAUUAAACACAAUAAUACUAAUAUAUAAUAUCCCAUAAAACUAAGCUUGGUUUAGGUUGUUUAGCACACUCCUUAAACACUAUUUAAGGAUAUUAAAGUCUUCCAAUAUAGAUUGAAGGAAGACGAAUAUCAAGGGUUUUGGAUUUUGAGUCUUUCUAUGACUCUUAAGUUAUUUGAGAAAUUGUUUCAAUUGCCCAUCUUUGAAAUGACCGAAGUAGUUUGUUGGCUAAGAUUCACUGUUAAUCAUUAAAUACUAAUCAAUAUUGGAAAUUAAUUUGUGUACCAUUUUAAUGUCACUAGGCCAAAUUUUUCAGGCGAUGUUUUCGUUGCGACGAUAUUGUAAACGUCGCUCAUAUUGCGACGUUUCUUAACAUAUCGUCGCAAUAAUGCAUAAUUUAAAUUCAAAUUCUAAAAAAUGAGUAAAUAUUGCGACGCUUCUAAAUUACGCCGCAGGAAUCAUCGCAAACUUUUAAACGAAAAGUUCCCGGAAGAAAAGGCGACUAAUCGGUUACAUACGUCGCAAUUUUGCGACGUUAUUGUAAAUAGUCGUCGCAAGAGAAAAAAAUAUUUUUUAUUUUUUUUAAUUAAUAAUAUUUGCGAGAUAAUUAUGAAACGACGCAAGGUGAUUGGAAAAUUGGCGACGUUUAUAUAUUAUUUCGUCGCAAUGUUUUCCAAUUAAAAAUUUCUAAAUUUGUUUUGCGACGUAAAUAAUGCAAUGGAUUGAAACGUCGCAAUAUAAUUGGUUUUUUUUUCACAAUUUUUCUGUUGCGAUGUUUAAUUAACUAAAGUCGCUAUUUUAUUUUCAUAAGUUUGUUGUGGCGACUAAAAUAUAGGAAAACGUCGCAAGGAAAUUUUCGGUCCUGCGAGUAUUAAGUAUAAACGUCGCGAAACCAAAUUAAAACCCCUUUCCCCACCCUAAUUUCAGAACACGUUUGCCCAAGUCCGUCUCUUCCCAAAUCACAGCUGCUCCCACACCCCUCCUCCGCCGAAGCAAAUCAGUCCGCCGUCGCCGUCGCCGUCGGUGUCGCGGCUGACGGCAUAAGGCCUUGUGAUAGCCACCGCCAAAAUCCCUCUAUCUCAGCUCCUCCUCCGUCUUCCACACCGCCGCCGCCGCUUCAAUAUUCUCCACAAAAAUCCUCCCCCAUCGUGCCGACGACAUCACCGGUUACUAAGGCCGAGCCACCACCGAAGCCUUCUUCUCCCGCUCCUCCUCCCUGUUUCGCACCACCGCUGCCGCUCCCGCUCCCGCCGUCGGAGCCGUGGGACUUGCCGUAAGUUUUUUUAUUUAUUCUGCAUAAUUAUAUUUUAUAUAUUUUAUUAUCAAUGAUUCAUGAAUUAUUAUUAUUAGAAAACAAAAGAAAAAUUAUUUCUUUAAAAAAAAUAAAAAAAAAUCGAAAUAAUGUUGACAGCUUCAAUUUCAUUGAAUUAAUGUGAAGGUGGUUGAAGGGGCAAGAACGUGAGGAGCAUCAAGAAUUAUUGGAGUUGACAUUAAUCCCGAUAAAAUUAUUAAAGAUAUCAAAUUAAAUUAAUAAAUAAAUAAACUCGCCAUUUAAUUUAUUGUACUAUAGUAUAUUCAUCCACUUGGAGUAAUUAAUAAUCAAUAAAUUAUGAAAUUUUGUUUUAAUAGGUAAAGCAAUUGGGAUCACAAACUUCAUAAAUCCCAAGGAUUUGAACAAGCCACUGCACGAAUUUGUAGAGGGUAAGUUAAAUUAUUUUAUGUAUAUAAAAUCUUUGUUAAAUUAUUUUAUAUAUAUGUGCUUUGUUAAAUUAUGUACACAUUAUUAAUUUAGAAUUUUGUUUAUUAAUUGUUGAUGAUGAUGAUACUAAGCAGUGAUAUUAAUGGGAAUGGUUAAUAUAAUGGUAAAUACAUAACAGUGAUCACAUUUGUCAAUCUCUCUCUAACCCAUAACAGUUUCAAAUACUCUUUAUAUGCUAGCAAUAUUUUAUUAACUUCAUCAGGCUAAGUAUAAGUAAGAUAUGGGCAUUUAACACACAUAAUUUCAAAUAUUCAGUUUAAUCAGUUUCCUAAAUUUUUAAUUGUGUAAAAUAUAUUAAAAAUUUAAAUUAAUUUCAGUAAUUAAUAGUUAAUACGGUGUCAAUUAAAUAGUUUAAAAAACGGGUCCCAUAAGAUACCAAACUUACACUUGAAAGAGAUCACAAUAUUAUUUUCAAAAUAUUUUUUCCCUAUUAUAUAUAUACUCCGAAAUUAAAUUAUUCCGAGAGAGACGAAUAUAUAAAUUUAACUCUCUCGUUACCUUCUAUGUUCCUCAGUUGCGAAUAUUUUCUAACUAAAAAUGCGGAAGGAUAGGAGUUGGGUUUUGCUAGAUGAUCAUCGAUUAGACGCAUUUCAAAAUGGUUGUUUAGAAUUUCUCAACUUUGCUUUCGAUAAGGCGGCCAUUGAUGACAAAAUAAGGUGUCCAUAUAGAGACUGCAAAUGUCGAAAAGUCGGGGAUCGUGAAUUCGUUCAUGAGCAUUUACUUUGGAGGGGCUGGGAUAAAUCCUAUGGCGAAGGACAAUGGGUAAUGCAUUUGGAGUCUGAUGAAGAGUACCGUCCGGAUCUUUGCGAAGUACCCGAAGAAGAAGCUAGUGAAGUAGGGGGGUUUGGUGCUGUACAUGUGAAUGAAGACGAUGACAUGAGUGCCGAUAUUAAUCCCACAAUGGAUGAAUUAUUGCAAGCAUGUCUCAAUCCUACUCAACAUGCCCUAGGUGAAGAGUCCAGCUCAGAAAGUGAUGAUCGCCGCAAACUCAUUGAAGAGUGGUGUAUCCCCUUAUAUGAAGGUUGCACAGAUAAUUCUAAACUUUCCUUCAUGAUGGAUUUUUACAAAAUCAAAUCUCGGGGUAAAAUGAGUGAUAAGACAUUUUCAGAAACCCUCCAACUUAUGAAAAAGAUUCCUUCCCUAAAUAUUCCCGAUUCUUCCUAUGAAGUUAAGAAGCUUAUCGGGAAGUUGGGAUGCGGUUAUGUCAAAAUUGAUGCAUGUGAGAAUGAUUGUAUGUUGUUCUGGAAGAAUGACAAAGACUUGGACAAAUGCAAAGUGUGUAAUGUUUCAAGAUGGAAGAGUCCCACAAAAAAUGAACCAAGUUGUUCAACCUCUCAUCACAAAAGAGUACCUAAGAAAGUUCCCCGACACUUCCCGUUAAUUCCUAGACUCAGACGUUUGUUCAUAUGUGAGAAAACAUCAAUUCAUAAGAGAUGGCAUGCUGAGUCUCGGUGUAACGAUGGUUGUUUAAGGCACCCUGCCGAUUCUGAUGGCUGAAAGAAUUUGAUAAGAAGCAUGAUUCAUUUGCUUCAGACCCCCGAAAUGUAAGGCUCGGCUUGGCUACAAAUGGAUUCAAUCCAUUUGGAUCAUUGAGUAGUAAGUAUAGCACGUGGCCGGUUAUUCUAAUGACUUACAACUUACCACCAAAUAUGUGCAUGCAGCGUUCUUUUAUGAUGAUGUCUUUGCCUGUUGAUGGUAGUGAUAGUGAGAUUGGUGGGGGUGAUGGUGAGCGACAAGUAGAUCAAAGAGGAAAGCCCAAACUACGUGCCAUUGCGGUAAGUUAAUAUUUUAGUUGUAUCGAUGCUUUAUUUGCUAUUUUGAACAUGUUUGGGUUGUAUUGUAGUUGAUGGAUUAUGGAUUUAUUUCGUACUUAGGUAUCGAUGAAUUGUGUAAUGUAGUUGGUGGAUCUUUACGUGAAUUGAGUAAUUGUGUCUAUUAGGUUCUCUAAUGAAGUUGAUGCUUAUUUUUGUUGAAUUGUUAUUUUAUUUCCUAGUUGAGCAUAUGUUGGUUGUUUAAUGUAGUUGGUCGAUCUUUAUAUAUAAAAUCUUGUGUUUUUGUUUACUUGAACAUCUUUGGGUUGAGCAAUGUAGUUGGUAUAUUUAUAUAUGUUGGUUGUUUAAUGUAGUUGGUCGAUCUUUAUGUAUGAAUUAUUGUGUUUUUGUUUACUUGAACAUCUUUGGGUUGACCAAUGUAGUUGGUGUAUUUAUAUAUAUUGAUUGUUUAAUGUAGUUGGUCGAUCUUUAUAUAUGAAUUAUUGUGUUUUUGUUUACUUGAAAAUGUUUGGGUUGAGCAAAUUAGUUGGUAUAUUUUUAUUUGAAUUAUUAUUUUAUUUUAUACAUCGUAUCAAGUAAUUAGUGUUAAUACACUUUUUUAUAUUACUCAGGCGAAUUUGGACAGAGUCUAUCAAGAAUGUAUGAAUGAUGGGAGUGAUGAAAGCACCGCUAACAUGAUUGCUUGCGAACGAGUACUAGGAAAAACUAAAAGACUAGGACUUGGUUGCUCAAGUUCAAAGAAAGGGGCGAGGUCCAACUCAUCUUGCAUGUGUUGCUAGAGAUGAAGAAAUAGCGGCUUUUAAAGAAGACAACAAGACUUUAAAGGACGAGAUGAAUCAAAUGCAGAGUACUAUGAAAGCCAUGGUCGAAUAUUUUAGGGCUAAACGUGUCGAGUUCCAUCCCCAGAAUCCACCCGGCGACGACAACUAGUUUCCUCUACAACAUUGGUUUUGGGUACUUUUAUUUCAUGUUUGGAUGAUUUAAGUUGUUAUUUGGAUUAUCUUGUGUUUUGAUAGAAUUUUUGGAUGAUUUUAUGUUUUGGAAUGUUUCGACGAUUUUAUGUUUUGGAAGAAUGUUUUGGAUUAUUUAAUUUAAGCGAGUUGUUUAAUGUUUUUGUGUAUUUAAUUAUAUUGGAAUUGUUUAUUAUUACAGGUCAAAUAACAAUUAAAAUAAAAAUCAGUAAAAAUAUUAAAUAAAAAUAUUUAUAUAUUUGCGACGUUUUUUGGAUAUUAGUCGCAAUAGCAGAAAAAAAAUUUGCGACAGUAUUUAUAUAUUCGUCGCAAUGUCGUAACAAAAUUGUGCGACUUUAUUAAAAAAAGGACGCAAAGUUAAAAACAAUUGCGACGAAAUCUUUUCGGAAAAUAUAGUCGCAAAAACUUUGCGACGAUAUAUAUGUGUCGCGGUUGGUGGACGAAAUGUGCAACAUAUAGAUAAAUUCGUCGCAAUAAAUUAGCAGAAGAAAAAAUUACAACAUUGCGACGGUUACACUAAAUCGUCGCAAACAGUUGCGACUUAAAGGAAAAACGUCGCACAUAUUUGCGACGGGCACUUUUUUGACUUUUUUCCGGCAAAUUUUGUCGCAAAAUAAACGUCGCAAAAUUAUCGAUUCCGUCGCAAACGGGGUUUUACGUCGCAAAAAAACGUCGCCUGAAAUGUGUUUUGGCGUAGUGUGUUCACUUAAUUAAAAUGGGGAUUUUUGUGCAUAAGUCCCCAACCAAACAUCUUUAUUAUUCUAGGUUUAGGGGCUAUAUUUCUUUCACCAAUAAGCUCAUCUCUUUAAUAUUAAUUAUAAAUAAAGGAAACAUUCAAGCAUAUCCCAAUAUUACCCUCAACAAUUUAUACCAAAUUCUUAAUUGUAACUCCAAUUUAAUCAAUUUUGUCUACAAAAAUCCAAUUUUGACCACAAAAAAUCAAUAUUGACUUUUUUUGGCGGAUACUUUAAUAUGCUCCACUUUCAUACUUUAAUUUUCAUUUUUUUCUUUCUUUCGGAUUUUUCGUCGGUCUCCGGCGUUGACUUUUUUAUUUUUUUAUAUUUUUUAUUUUUUUUUCAUUUUUCUUUUCUUUUUUCGCCGGUUUUCGGCGUUGACCGGCGGUCUUCGGCGUUGAUUUUUUUUAGUGCUUUUUUUUUUUUUUUUUUUUUUUUACAUCCGCCGCUAAACGUUGACCGUAAUUGUGCUGACACUGACAGUAAAUUAACGUAAUUAUACUGUCAAUGACAGUUAAUUAACGUAAUUGUACUGCCGUUGAGGCGUUGACAAUACAUUUAUGUCAUUGUUCUGUCGUUGACAGUAAAUUAACGUAGUAUUAUUAUUAUUUUUUUUUGAUUUGUUGACAAGUCAACGUAAUUAUAUUACUGUCGUCGACAGUAAAAUAACUGUAAACACAAUAAUAUUACUGUAUAUUAUUGUAAUAUUACUGUAAACACAAUAAUAUUAUUGUGGUUGACGGUAAUAUUACUGUUGUUACAGUAAUAUUGCUGUCAACCACAUCAAUAUUAUUAUUUUGUUUGGAUUUUUUGUUUGUUUGAGUUAUUCACGGAGUAACGUAAUAAUAUUACUGUCUAUUAUUGUAAUAUUACUGUGGUUGACGGUAAUAUUACUGUUGUUAUAGUAAUAUUACUGUCACUCACAGUAAUAUUAAUUUUUUUGGCUUUUUAUUAUGUUUACAUUUGUUGAACGGUCAACAUAGUAAUAUUACUAUAUUACACAAUAAUAAUGAAUUUUGUUGUGUUAAUAUUACUGUGUUAGAGAUUAAUAUAGCAAUAUUACUGUGUUAAACUGUAUUUUAGUUAAUUUUACUGUGUUUAACAGUAAUAUAGUUAAUAUUACUGUCAAUCACAGCAAUAUUGCUGUUUAAACGAAAAAAAAAAGUUACAGAAAGAAAGAAAAGAAGAAAAAAAAAUUCGAAAAAGUCAACGCCGGAAUCCGGCGGAAAAAAAAAUUCUGAAAUUUUUUUUUUGGAAAAAAAAAAAGUUUUGAGUAAAAAUUGAAUAAUUUGUGAAAUUUGGGGUCAAAUUGAGGUUAAAUUAUGUUAAGGAUUAAAUUGGAGCAUAUUAAAGUAUGAGGUGUUAUUUUAGUCCUUUACAAAAAUCUGGACCAUGUGUCGACUUAUUGGUAAAUAAGAUUUUUGUCGGAUCUCUUUAUGAAUAAGUACCCAUUGAUGGGCUUAUUUAUUAUCAUCCCAAUUAAAAUUGAUAAAAUUAACCAAUAUGACUUUGUUGCCCCGUAAGAAGAAAACAUGGAAGUAACAAAUACCUAUAUUCAUCCUUCGUCCUUUUAUAAUAAGUAGAUAGAUAUAGAUAGAUUGGUUAAUUGGUGAAAUUGGCUAGUUAAUUGGUGAAAUUGGCUAAAUUAAGGUGUAAAUUAUGAAAUUGGAGUUGAAUUGAGUUUCAAUCAAUUGAGGGUAAUUUUGGUAUACGUAAAAGGGCUUUUCUUAUUUGCAAAUAAGAUUGAAUGAGAUGGAAAUAUUUAAAAGACAAAAGAGUUGGAAAUUAUUUUUUUAAUUAAGUACCCCUCUUAGAAGCCUUUUUGCUAAGGGAUAAUUAGCAAGAACCCCCUCAUCUAGGAAAAUGAGUUAAGAAAACACCUCAUCCAAAAAAUAAUUAGAGAAAACCCCUUUAACUAAUAUUCAACUCAUGUGAUAUUUUCAUAAUUCCAAGAUUACCCUUAAUUGUCUAUUAUACUCUUUUAAAACCCUAAUCUUAUUUUUAUUUUUUCAUCCGCCGUUUUCACGCUCCAACGUCUCUCUUCUUCUCUCUUUUCUCUUCUUCUUUGUUUUUUUUUCCUUUAUUUUCUCUGUGACUGCUCCGCCACUGUCGUCGCCGCCGCCGUCGCCAGGAGAUGGAGAAAGAAAGAAGAUGAAGCACCCAUCAAACAUUAUAAAUGAUUCUGAUAGCAAUUUUGAAUUCAAAUGCCAGGAAUGCUAUAGAUUGUCGAUUUGUCGCCGGAAUCUGAUUUUGAUGGGUGGUGGUUCUACUUUGGUUGGUGGUGCGAGUUGUGAUUUUAUUUAUUUAUUUGUAAUAAAAAAAUGUCAUAAUGUCAAAGUAAGGUGAUGAUGGUGUGUUGUGGCGGCGGUGUGGUGACGAUGGGAGACAGAUUUAAGGUUUUUUGGUGGAUCGGGCGGAGGACGGCGCCGGUAGAGAAUUUCGCGCAUGCUGAAACCUUAAUCGACUAUGUACAUGUUCAUAGUCGAUUAAGCUAAUCGACUAUGCUCUAGCAGUUGAUUAAGAUUGAUGGACUCCAAUUUUUUUUUUUUUGAACUUUCUGUUUAUUUAUUCCAAGUGUAUAAAUUAUUUAUAAUAUUUGUAUAUUUUUUUGUUUUUAUAAUGUAUAGUUGAUUUUAUAUUUUUUUCGCAGUUGUGAUUUGUUAUUUUUAGUAGCAGAUUCUUAAUCGACUAUGCUUCACAUCAUAGUCGAUUAAUAUACAUGAUGUAGAAAAAAAAAAUUAAAAAAUAAAAAAAAAUUAAAAAAAUAAAUAAUUUCCUUAAUCGACUAUGAAGCAUAGUGGAUUAAGGUUAAUCGACAAUGCUUCAUAGUCCAUUAAAGAAACUGAUACAGAAAAGGCGGAAAAAAAAACGGAAAAGAAAAAUAAAAAUUUGCUGAGCGCGUGACCCAAUGAUGAUGUGGCGGGGGGUAACGCUGAAAAACAUAAUGGCUGAAAAUGGGUGUGAGCUUUUCUCAAAUGUACUAAAAUAUUUUGGGCAUCCGUCCAUUAAAAAAAAUAGUGAUGGGUUUUCUCAAAGAACUCAUUUUGCUAAUUAUAACUCUUCUUAUCACUAAAUUGAAUUAAAGUAAAAAUGGACAUAAAUUUUCACAGAUCGAAGGUUUUAUCAAAUUUACUCUUACGUCCUCAUUUCUUGCACCACCACUAUAUCUGGCGGUCUCCGGUGGCCCCAUCAAAGAUAUUAUCGAAUCCAAAGAUAUACAGACUGUUUCUCUCAUAAGAAUUUAUGAGAUAUUUUCAAAUUUCUUGAUAAGAAUUUUAUGGCGACACCAGUUAUAUGAAAACUCAACCACACCUCCUUCUAGAGUAAAGAUGGAUUACAUUUACCAAUGAACAAUAAGUGGGUUCUUAUUAUUUAUUAAACAUAAACAAAUUAAUGUGUAUUGGGAAGAGAGAGAAAACUUAAGUCUUUUUUACUUCAAUUCAGUUUAGUGAAAAUUUUGGAAUAUUUUCAAAGUAAUUGCAGUGGUUUAGAAGAUAGUUAACUUCUAUAAAUGCAUCUGUUUUCUGGUAAGAUUGAGGGUCUUUUUCUAACACAAAAUAUGAUGGUACACAUGGUAAAUAAUUAAUUAAGGGGAUUCGCCUUAUUAAAAUUAAUUGGGGUGGUUAGUGUAAUAAUGAAUCUGGUUUGAACCCUAAAUGUAGCAUAAUAAUGAACCCUUUGACUUGCUGCUCUGGACGUCUUCUAUCUUCUCACGUUUGCUUUCCAAGCCACAUAUUUAGUCUUUCAUAUCCAAUACAAAAUGGGAAAAAGAAAUCUUUCCCAUUUUGGUAUAAUAAUUCCUGCGGCUGCCGACAGUGGAAAAAGAUAUCUCUCAUAUUUUGCUAUAAUAAUAUUCCUUUCACUAAAAAUACUAAUUUGGCGCAACAAAGAAAAAAAGACAUAAUGGAAUAUGAGUUUGGACUUGCUGCUCUUACCUUCAUUUUUCUUCUAGCGUCCCUAUUUUGUUACUCAUGGAUUGUACUACUCGGCAACUUAAAAACCGGAACCGAGCCACCACUUCCCCCCGGACCAUACGGCCUUCCGAUUCUCGGAUACCUCCCGUUUCUCAAAAACAACUUGCACCACCAGUUCACACAAUUGUCUCGCAAGUACGGCCCCAUUUACCGCCUCUGGCUCGGCAGCAAACUCUACGUCGUUGUAAGUUCGCCUUCAUUGAUAAAGCAGAUAGUUCGCGAUCAUGACUCCAUUUUCGCGAACCGGGACCCGCCGGUUUCGGCCCUAAUCGCCACGGGCGGGUACGACAUCGUGUGGACGGCAAACGGUCCGUACUGGCGCGACAUGCGGAAGCUGUUCGUUCGUGAGAUGAUGACCAACACCAACCUCCAGGCUUCCCACGUUUUCCGCACGGAGGAAGUGCGGAAACUUAUCGGGAAUCUCGAUACGAAAAUCGGGAGUCCGGUUCAAAUCGGGGAACUCAUUUUCCUGACGGAGCUCCACGUACUCACGAGCUUGCUCUGGGGCGGUGAGAUGGACCCCACGGAGCGUAGCAGGCUCGGAGUUGAGUUUCGGGUUCAUAUUUCGAAACUGGUCGAUUUGUUUGGAAAGCCUAAUGUUUCCGAUUUUUUUCCGGUUCUUGCCAAGUUUGAUUUUCAGGGAAUCGCAAAAGAAACGAAAGCUGUGGUGGUGGAGGUGGAACGAAUUUUGGAUUGUAUUAUUGAUGCAAAAUUGAAGAUCAUGGCGGCUGGUGGUGGUAUGGAAGGGCGUAAGGACUUUGUGGGAAUUCUUUUGGAGCUCAAGGAUAAGCAACUCGGGGAAACCUCAACAUUCGGUUUAACUCAAAUCAAGGCAAUUUUGAUGGUAAUUUUCUCCACAUUUCAUUUUCUUGUUGGUUUAAUAUGUUACUCGAUGCUAGAUUUGACACCGUUCAGUAAAAGCUUGUUUCGACUCGAUUUGUUAACAUAACGAAACAAACUUCAACACAUAUACUUUUGUUAUUGAUAAGGUUUGAAACUCGAUCUUUUUGAGUCGGGGAAAAAAGUUAAAAUCAAACUACUCGAUUUUGAUUAAUUCGUGCGCUAACCUCUAAUGCUUAUUAAUCCAAGCUCAGACACAUAUAUACUCAAUGCGCUUAUGCGUGUGCCCCUAGUUCUGUUGCUUCUGGAAUAUAUAGGAGAAUUAGUUUUUGUGUUCAAAUGUGAAGGAACAAAAACCGCUAACCAUUUUUAUAGGCAUAAACCCUCUUGUGAUCCAAAGUCAAGACAAAUAUACUCUUUGAAGCUAACAAUGUAACUCUCUUUGUGAUUCUCUUUCAUUGAAAUGGCAUAAAAUAUGCUCUUUGAUUAUAGGAUAUUGUUGCCGGCGGGAGCGAUACUACGGCAACGAUGGUCGAGUGGGUGAUGACCGAGCUUUUGCACAACCCGAGUAUAAUGCAAAAAGUGCAGCAAGAAGUAACAAAUGUUGUAGGAGCGAACAACGUCGUUGAAGAAUCCCACGUAUCGAAACUGCACUACCUCGAAGCGGUUGUAAAGGAAACAUUCCGCCUACAUCCUCCAUUGCCACUCCUCGUUCAAAGGUAUCCGAGUGAAUCUUGCACGAUCGGAGAGCACACAAUCCCAAAGGGGUCAAGGGUCUUCUUGAACAUGUGGUCAAUCCACAUGGACCCGCAAGUUUGGGAGAAUCCUUUGCAAUUUCGACCCGAGAGAUUUUUGAAUGAUAACUCCGAAAAAUUUGAUUUCAUUGGAAACAACGUUGAGUAUCUUCCGUUCGGAUCGGGGAGAAGGGUGUGCCCUGGUAUUCCGUUGGCUGAGAAGAUGGUAAUGUAUUUGUUGGCUACGCUCGUUCAUACGUACGAGUGGGGGUUGCCGGAGGGACAUAAGAUUGACUUGUCGGAGAAAUUUGGGAUUGUCAUGAGGAAAGAAACACCACUAAUUGCUGUUCCUUAUCAUAAAUAACCAAAUACGAACUUGUAUGCAUAAUUAUAUUAUGUUUCUUGUAUCUAUCAUGUUACCUUGGUGUACCAAUUAUCGGUCACUUUAUUCUAUAUUUUGAUGAUCCUACAUCACAAAUCACAAUACUCGUAUAUUUCUCACUUUAUCUGCCCAUUAAUUGGUAUACUUACUUGCUGGAAAAUGAAAAAUUAGAGUAGGAUUAGUAAUUUUUGGAUUUAUUUUGAUUUAUUUUAAUUUUCUGAAAAAAAAUUACGUCAAUAUUUUAUAAUAUAUUGACGUUCAUGUUGCCAAAUUUCACCCAUGUAUAGGACGGGUGAUAUUUUUGGUAUUAAAGAUCUUGUGUGAAGUAGUUUCAAAAUUUAGGUGUUCUGUUCAAUUGGUAUUUUUUGGACCCACAAUAGUUGUAACCGUCCCUAUGUCAGGAAAAACCGUUGGGGUUGUUCACUGUCCGAACGGUACCGAACCAAAAAAUCAUUUUGGUAUUCGGUAAUUUAUUUUUUGAAUUUUGGUAUUCGGUACGGUAUAUGGAUUUGAUGUCCGGUAUACCGAGCCGUACCGAACACAUAAAUAUGUAAAAAAAAAAAAGAAUUCUUUUAUUUUAAAUCCUUGAAGGUUAACAAAUUAUAAAAUGCUUAUAGAUUGAUAAUUUUUUUCCAUUAUUUCCAAAUUAGCCUCUAUUGAUAAUCACUUUUUUUAUUUUAUUUUUAGGGCCGAUUAUUGAAACUUGAAUGUCAAAUUCAAGAAUUAAUUAGCUUAAAUAUAUUUUUUUUUACCUUUUUAAAAAUAAGAAAAUAUGUUUUCAAUUUUACCGGUAUCGAACUGCAAAAACCAAAUUAAUUCGGUAAAAAAAAUGUAGCGAACGGAGUAGUUUGAUACAGUAAAUGGUACAAUCUUUUUACGUACAGAAAUUCCGAUACGGUUUGAUGUAGUUUGAAUUUAUGAGCACCCCUAAAAAAACGCUAUCUCCUUUCUCAUAAUAUCCAAAAGUCAACAUCUAUUUCAAGCAUUACUUCAAAAUAACCUUAAUAACUUUUGUAGGGGUAUAAUUGUCUUUUCAAAUACCUAAAAAUUACUAAAUUUUUUUGUUCUUCCUUGUUUCCCUCCAUUUAAUCUCUUCUUCCUUCUCCAUUUUCUACGAAAGCGGCAUCCCCCAAAACACCUUGGAGCAGCCAAAUCUGAGGGAAUUGAUAAUCUUGUAUUUGCAAUUGGAAUUUGAAACAAAGGAUGCCAACUUAGGCAUUUCGGAUAAACCAAUAACAAAUGUUAAAAAUCAAAUCACCUCUUUCUUCGUCUAUCACCAAACCUAUACUCUACAAAACCUAUACAAAUAAAUACACAUCGAUGUAGACAUAUAGAUUAUAGACAAUGGUGUAACAAGGAAGGGGCAACCACCCCUCCAAGAAAAUAUAAAAUCAUUUUUUUAACUUACUUUUUGGCAUAAAAUAAUACAACUAAAAUUCAUAGUUUUUAACUAAAUAUUAUAAAUAUAUACUAAUUUUAGCAAAUGUUUUUGAAUAACUCUAAAAGAAACCCGGGAAUGCUGCCCCCGAACACCCGAAAAAUUAACCUACCUACAUAUAUUAUUUCCGAAAAAAAUCGCCCCCUUACAAUACUGUCUGAAUGCGCCCCUGCAUAUAGAAGUUGAGAUUCCUUGAUGUAAUAAAACCCAAACAACACAUCAUGUUACUUCUAAGUUCUAAGUAUUGGGUAAAUGACAAAUAGACCCAUGACACAUGGACUUAACUAAAAAAGGGACAUCCAGUUUUUUUGUCUUGCAAAAAAACCCACUACUUAAAAGUUUAUUAAAAUCAAGGCCAGGGUAUUUUUUCGGACAUAAUUUCACAUGUAUAUAAACUGAAAAUUGAAAUCCGUACGCCCGUUUUGUCAUGUUUUAUGCGCGAUUCUUGUCUCUUCUCUACCGAAUUCCUCUCUAUACCUCUACAUCUCGGAACUGAGCCACAUCUACCUGUUUCACAUCGGAUCUCGCCGUUAUCCGGCCGUCCUCUCCAGCUUUUAUCGCCGAUCAUAUCUGGUGUAGUAUAAUUUUCAAGGAAGGUGUGUCAAAUUUUUUGAUCUGCAUGCGAGUGUUUUUUUUAAGUUACGAAUGUCAACAUCGAGAUAUGUAUAGUUUGAAUUGUAGUAAAUUGAACACCAUGAUGUAUGGGCUUUCAAUGUCUGUUUGCACAAAUGUUUAUUUUUCUUUUGUAUUUUUGUUUUCACGCUAUGUUUUUUUGGAAGUGUUUAUAUAAUGUUGGUGUUAUUGGCAGUAUAAUUGAGUGUAUCUGUUAUUUCGCUGGUUGGUUAUGUAAUUUGACUGUUAUUAGCAGUAUAAUUAUAUUUUGCUAUGUUUGUUUGCAAGUGUUUAUAUAAUGUUGUUGUCAUUGGCAGUAUAAUUGAAUGUAGACGCGGAUUUGCUGGAUGUAUUAGUAAUGUGACUGUUAUUAAUAAUGUAAUUAUGCUUUGCUAUGUUUGUUUGCAAGUGUUUAUAUAAUGUUGUUGUCAUUGACAAUAUAAUUGAUUGUAUACGCGGAUUUACUGGAUGUAUUAGUAAUGUGGCUAUUAUUAACAGUGUAAUUAUGUUUUGCUAUGUUUGUUUGCGAGUGUUUAUAUAAUGUUGCUGUCAUUGGCAGUAUAAUUGAAUGUAUACGUGGAUUUACUGGAUGUAUUAGUAAUGUGACUAUUAUUAAUAGUGUAAUUAUGUUUUAUAUGAACUUGCAGGAUGACUAGUUCUAUAGUGUUGUUGUUGAGAUAUGGUGCAUUUUGUUCGAUCACAAAUUUUACAAGAGGGAUGAGUUUUUCCAGUCUUGUGCAUUUUUUUUUUGUUCAAGAUGGAAUUCUUGAAGUGUUGAUAACAUGUCAUUAUCGUACUUUGUCCCUGAGAUUGGUGUUUUUUCAAUCAACGAUGAUGAAGAUGUAAAAGGGUUAUUUAUUAUUGUGGAAUAAUGGUUGAUUCAAAGGAUUGAAAUUGUUGUGAAGGAAGUUCAUGCAUCUCUCGGUACAUCCAAUACUAGUUACAGCUCUAUGGUAGGUUCAUCCGGUCUGCUACCUCUCGCUGCAUUGGAAGCGGUAGUUACUCCCCCAUGCAACCCAUUACGUGCCAUUGGCCCCCAAAAGACUUUGCUUAGCUCACAUUGGAUAAAUCUGAUAACCGACGUCGGACAAUUUUUUCGUGGUGGACGUUCAUAAUUUAGAAUAUGUCUAGCUUAGUUUGCGUAUGAGCUUGGAUUUGGAUUCGAUUUUAUCAAAAACGAUACGUAAAGAGUGACUGUAGUUUGUAAGCUUAGAGAGUGGCAUAAUUGUUUGUGGAGAAUUCAUGCUACAAUUUAACCUUCAACCGGAUAUUGUAUUAUUCGCAUGCACGAGAAAAACCACACGUGUGAGUUGGCUAGCGCUGUCAAGAAGGGAAGAAUGAGCGUUAAGCUCGCAGCUGAUUUAAUCGUGGAGGAUAUUCGGGAUAAGCCGCUGAUGUGUCCUAACGACGUUAUUCAUGAAGCAAAAAAGAAGUAUGGGAUUGAUAUUAACUACAAUAAAACAUGGAGAGCUAUGGAAUCUAGUUGAAGUUUUGUAUUUGGAGAUGAUGGAAUAUCUUAUUCGUACCUCAAGGCGUAUUUUGAAGAAGCUGGGCGUUGCAAUCCAGACAGUGUCAUUCACCUGGAAGUUGAUGAGAAGUAUAACUUGUUCAAUCGUUGUUUCUUCAAUUUUGGUGCUUGUCUAUCUGGAUUUAAGUUUUGCUGUCCGAUUCUUUUUUUGGAUGGUACUUUUCUGAAGGGUAGAUACAAAGGUAUUCUUUUGAGCGCCAUCACGAAAGAUGCAGGGAAUGAUAAUUUUGUUGUAUUACAUUCUUUGUUCCAGUCCACAUAUAUCUGUUACUGUUAAAGAUAUAUAGUGUAUUAAGGUUAUAUUACUAUCACAUAUAGUUUUAUAUGGCUCUUACAGAACAGGUGUUCAUGAAAUGACAAGUUUUUUUUACAUCGAUUUACCCUGUUUCAGGUCCUUAUCUAGUGGCAUUCGUCGUUGUGCACGAGGAAAAUGAUUCAAACUAGGAUUGUUUCAUGAAACAUUUAAGAUGUUGCAUUAGCUCAGAUCGUGUUCUGACAUUCUUAUCCGAUCGGCAGCACGAUAUAUUGGAAGUUGUGAGAAAUAUUUCCCGAAUUGUCACCAUUCGUUCUGCUUAUUUCAUUUAGAGACUAAUUUGAGGUAUAAGUUGAGUGGAAUGAGCUCUAGUUAUAGAGAUAUUCUAGUUAGUCAGUUGAUAGCAUGCACGUAUGCUCCCACUAAGGAAAUCUUUCAUGAGAAACUUUAGAAAUUUAAAAUUGAUGGUUGAAGGAAAGUUGUUGAUUUUCUGUCAGAUUUGCCUUUUGAAAAUUGGAAAAAUGCGUAUUUUGAGGGGCAUAGGUAUGGUGAGUUGUAUUCGAAUGUUGUGGAAUCAUGAAAUGGUACAAUAACGAAAUUCCGACAUUUCGAUUACCCAUAUGAUUGACAUCAUUAGGGGUUAUUUAAUGGAUAAAAUUUGCUAGAGGUCUGCAAAAGCGAGUGUUUGGACUACGAUCAUUUGUCCAAAGAUGGAAAUUAUUUGAAGGGCUUGUGACGAAAAUGGGAGGACAUGAACAGUUAGAAAAUCAAAUCAGACUGUCUUUGAAGUGCAUUUAGACCCUCACGAGAUUGUGGAUUUGUUUGCUAGAAUGUGCACAUGUCGGGAUUGGAAGCUUAAAGGAAUCCCUUGCUGUCAUGUGGUUGUGGUUCUCAAAAAUAUCCCCACCGGUGAACGAUGUGGGUACGUUGACCCCUUAUUUUAUGCCUGCAAUUUCAGAUCUACUUAUUCUUUUUCGAUUUACCCAUUUAUGGUGGACUUUACAAAAGUUGAGCAGCCAGUUGUUGGACCUCUAGUAUGACAAAAUUACCAUCAACCCGUUACACACAAUUCUUAAUUGUAACCCCAAUUUAAUCAACUUUGACCACAAAAAUCCAAUUGUGCCUUUUUUUUUUUACUUUUUUUUUAUGAAUUAUUUUUUUGCAGCCGAUUUUCGGAGUUGACUUUUUCGAUUUUUUUUUCUGGUCUGCUUUUUCGCCUCUGGUUUCCGGGCAUGCGUUGUUUUUUUCGGUUUUUAUUUAUUUAUUAUUAUUUUUUUCCGCAGCCGGUCUCCAGCGUUGACUUGUUUUUAGUUAUAUUUUUUCUCUAAAAUUGUUAUCCGUUUUUUACCCCCGUCGCUAAACAUUGACCGUAAUUGUACUACCAUUAAUAGUAAUCAUAUAGUCCCUGACAGUACAUUAACGUAAUUGUACUGUCAUUGACAGUAUAUUUAUGUAAUUGUACUGUCAUUGACAGUAUAUUUAUGUAAUUGUAUUGUCGUUGACAGUACAACUAGAGACCGCGGCAAUAUUAUUAUUUUUUUGGGCCUUUUUUUUUUUAUUUGUUGACAAGUCAACAUAAUUAUAUUACUGCCGUUGACAGUAAAAUAAGUGUAAAAAUAAUAAUAUUACUGUCAACCACAUCAAUAUUAUUUUUUUUGUAUUUUUUGUUUUGUUUGAGUUGUUGAGGGAAUAACAUAAUAAUAUUAUUGUCAACACAAUAAUAUUAUUGUGGUGGACGGUAAUAUUACUGUUGUUACAGUAAUAUUACUGUGGAUGACAGUAAUAUUAAUUCUUUUGGCUUUUUACUAUGUUUACCUUUGUUGAACAGUCAACAUAUUAAUAUUACUCUAUUACACAAUAAUAAUGAUUUUUUUGUGUUAAUAUUACUGUACUAGAGAUUAAUAUAGCAAUAUUAAUGUGUUAAACCGUAGUAUAGUUAAUAUUAAUGUAUUUAACAGUAAUAUAGUUAAUAUUACUCUCAACCACAACAAUAUUGAUGUUUAAAAGGGGGCAAAAGGAUGUUAAAGAAAAAAAAAAUUGAAAAAGUCAACGCCGGAAACCGGCGGAAAAAUCAGAAACAAAAAAAAAAAGGUCAACGGCGGCGACGGGCGAAAUUGUACUCAAAAUUGUAUUUUGGGUCAAAAUUGAAUAAUAUGUGAAAUUUUGGUUCAAAUUAAAAUUAAAUUAAAUUAAACGAUGAAAUUGAAACAUAUUAAAUUGUGAAGGGUCAAACUGCAUCCAGAGAACUAAUGGUGGUUUUUAAUUUUUUAUCAUUUGGAUCGCAUUUAUUAGUGUUAGAGAAUAUUAUAAUAUAGAACUCUUGUAAUAUUAGGAUCCUAUUAUGAUUCGUUUACCUAGAUUAAUUAUGAUUUAGUUACCUAGUCAAACUCUAUUACCUUGUAAUAUUUUUCUAUAUACGUAUUAUUAUUUCUCUUCUCUUCUUCUCCAAUUCUAUUCUUCCUAUAUGGUAUCAGAGCACUAGGUUUAGGUUUUUUAGCCUAGCUGCCUUUCUUCUCCAUGGCGGUGAAAACCUAGCCGUCUUUCUUCUACAUGGCGGUGACCACCCAAUUUUCUCCCUCCCCGGUGGUGGUACUCUAAUAUUUUUUCUUUUUUCUAUCUUUUCCAUUCACAUCACCCGAAUUUUCUCCCUCCCCCGGUGAUGCAUCUUCUUUAUCUUUUCUUCUUCUUCCUCUUCUCCAUGGCUUAAAACAUAGCCGCCGCCGCCUCUCUUCUUCUCGAUGGCCGGCGACCGGCCACCAAACCAAUUAUCUCCCUCCCGGUGGUGGUACUCUUCUCUCUAUCUAUCUUUUUCUAUCUUUUCCAUGAACACCACCCAAUUUUCUCCCUCCCCGGUGGUUCAUCUUCUAUCUUCUUCUUCUUUUUUUUCUUCUCCUUGGUCUAAGACCUAGCCGCCGCUUCUCUUCUUCUCCAUGGCCGGCGAACACUACCCAAUCUUCUUCCCCCCUCUCUCAUAUCUUCUAUCUAUCUCGAUAAAAAAAAAAGGUUGCUUAUUUUUCUCUCACCCGUUAUUAUUUUUUUUUUUUUAUCAAUUGGACAAAUAUUUCCACAGAGAAAUUCUCUAGCGUUGUGUUUCGCGGUUUCUGUCCAGUCUUCACUUUUGAAGUUUAUUCCACUACAACAUAUAUGGGUUUAGGCGACGCAAAAAAACCGUCGAGAAAGAGUACAAAAGCGUCGGGAAUAGUUUUCCUGAUAGUUUCAGACCGUCAGAAAACCGUCAAGAAAAAAGGCGUCGUAUAUACUUUUACAUAUAAAAAAACCGUCAAGAAAAGUUUUUCCCGACGCUUUAAAACCGUCGGGAAUACUUAUAUGAUUUUUUUUCCGGUGCUUUGAUGACCUAUUUUCUACAUAAAUAUAUACCUAUAUUCUAAUGCACUAAAAAUUGUAAACAUUUAAAUCCUUCUGCAAACAAUCAGAAGCUACUAUAAAAUAAUUUAUAUCAAGCAAAAUCAUUUAAAAUAAUAAAUUAUGUCAAACAACAAUCUCAUCGUUUGUACAAUUUGUAACACAUUAAUUUAGCCAUUCUUCCAACUCUCUAUUUCCAAUCAACUAUUUCUAUUUCUAUCACAAAACCCUACGCACCAAUCUUCGAUGUUUUCAAGUUCCUUCACAACUCUUAAUUUGAUGAAUAUGAAAGUUUAUCAGCAGCUACAGGUGGAUUCUCCUGCAAUAGAAAGUUCUCAGUUAAUACUUGAGACAAACUUUAAAAAAUAGUACUAAAUUAAUCAAAUAUACGAAACUGAUGGAAAUUUCCAUGGUUCACAACCAAAAACAGAAUUGAAAACUAAUGAUACCUGCCAAUGCACACAUCAUUAGAACCCAUGGUAGUAUUCCUUUAUGGACAACAAUAGCCUAUAUACAAAUAUUACACUUAAAUGGUCAGAAAAGCUUUAGUGUAGCUAUACAAUCUCUGUAAUGUUCAACUCAGAUUGUUCAAGGAUGGUUUCGUAUGACACUUUGACUACUAUGAGGGUUUUGUUCUGUCCAAAGUAACACACAAAGAAUUAAACAUUUUAUUGAAAACAAUGUAUGUGUACCAUAGAAGAACAAGAAAUAAACCUGGAAGUAUGAUAAAUUUUACCGUCCACCUCAGCUACAAUCAAUAACCUACAAAAGCCAAAACGGAAACAGACCAUUAGGGAAUAAUAAAUCUUUUCAGUAUUUCCAGUACCAUCGAAAACACGAGCAGGGGAAAAAUGAUUAUCUGGUUCAAUUAGUUAGUAAAUAGUAGAGCUACCUCUAGUUGCUCAUAAAGACUCCUUUUGAACGUCUAGUUGCAGUUGUAGUGCCUCCUUAAGUUGCGUAUCGCCGCAAAUGGUUUUCAAAUCUUUCUAAGAAACAUGAAAUUAACUGCGAUGGAAGAAAGUUUGUAUCUUUGCAACUGUUUAGGCUCAACACGUGGAAAAUAAAAGGCUAGUUUUGAGCUUAACACAAUCUCUAAUAUGCAUUCUACUAAAAUAUAGGUAGCGCAUUCUACUAAAAUAUAGGUAGCAUGAAGUAGCAAUUUUACAUUUCGAUGCCAAUCCAUGCUGCAUUAUUUAACUAAUCUUCUUCACAGAUCUUUUAGUUGCAUCAUCUAUGUGAAAAUAACAGUAAAAAAAAGAGCAAGUUAGCAACAAUAUGAGAAGGCAAGACAUGGGUUUGGCAAAUGUCAAAGGAACAAUUGUAGCAGAUAUCUCGCAUUACGAGUCAUGUCUUAUUCAGGGAAUAAAUAAAGGAUGACCCUGCAAUUAGACCACCCAAAAUACUCCAUGAAAAGGAUACCACAUACCUUCUUAAAUGCAGACUGACAAAGUGGCACUGAUAAGAAGUAUUAGAACUUUACUAGCAUCAUCGACCUUACCUUCAAAUUUCAACGAUAAAAUAAGUAACCAAGAAAUAAGCAGUUUAACUUAGGCUCUAAUAAAUAAAAUAUGGGCAUUGACAAUAAAUUGAAAAGACAUUGUACGUGUGUGGCCAAUUCUCUAUUGGCUAAAGCAAGAGAAUACUAGGUAACCUUCCAUAUCCAGCCCUCCGCCAUGCUUUUGCAGGGACAUUAGUCAAUGAGAGAUAUAUAAAAGGCAGAGCUAGGGAACUAACUCAAACACUUUGCACAAACACAAAAAAGAGAAGAAAAUGAUGCAAUAUAACCAAAGUAUACCCGAGAGGAUCCAGUUUUCAAUACUCUAAGUUGUUGUCAAUAACCAGAAAAGCACGAGCCAGAUGAAAUCUCCCAACCGAGGCAUUUUAAGAAGAAAAAAAAAUCUCCAUUAAAAUCAGAAUAGAAUAAAGAUAACUGAAAAGUAUACAUUAUCACCAAUUCCCCAAAAGCUGUUUAAGAAAUUAAAUUUUACAAUAAGGAUAACAAACAAAAAAGACCAGAAAAGAGAGGCUAAAACUAAGUCAUUCAGUUCCAGCUAUCACAUUUUCAAUUACCCAAGUAUUAAAAGAAUACUUCAUACAUUCAUACAUUACACAAGCAGCAUACUAAUUGAAUUUGCAAGGGUUAAGUUGCGAAGAGCCGAAAAGUUCAGUGAAACGUGACCUAAUUGAAGUUUACUUCAAACUCAUUAGUCACAAAACUAGGAUUACUGAAAAUUAACCAAAACAUAAAAUUGAAGAUGGAAGGAGAAAAGUGUUCACCUAGAAUCGGAUAUCAAAUCGCGAUUGAGAAAAUUGCGAAGUCGGAUGAAGUCGGAUGGAUACAAAUUUGACAAUCAAAUCGCGAUUAAACUCGAAUUUGAAAAGAAAUUAAGACGAUAAACUUAAAGCCUAAUUAGCAAUGUAAGCAUCAAUCUGAUGGCGGAGGCGGUCCGGUGGUGGUAACGAUGGCAGUGGCGUUGAUGGUGAUGGCGAUGGAGCCGGUGGCGGUGGCGGUGGCGUAGCAGGAUCGAAGAAAAGCCCUAGCAUUUCUAAACGACGGGAGAGAGAAACGUAUUAAGAAAAAAAAUGAGAGAGGCUUUUUU